rnacentral:lncRNA from 1 species
AUACUACUAAAUCUACUAACUAACUAAAUCUGCCAACUAACCUACCACUAAAUGUACUAAUUAACUAAACCUAGCACUAACCUACCACAAAAUAUACCACUAAUUAACAAAAAAAACAAAAACAACAAAAAAAUAAAAAUAAACCUAGCACUAAUUAACUAAACCUAGCACUAACCUACGACGAAAUCUACUAACUAACUAAAUCU